UACGAAGGUGGCAAGCGUUGUUCGGAUUUACUGGGCGUACAGGGAGCGUAGGCGGUUGGAUAAGCCCUCCGUGAAAUCUCCAGGCUUAACCUGGAAAGUGCAGAGGGGACUGUUCAGCUAGAGGAUGGGAGAGGAGCGCGGAAUUCCCGGUGUAGCGGUGAAAUGCGUAGAGAUCGGGAGGAAGGCCGGUGGCGAAGGCGGCGCUCUGGAACAUUUCUGACGCUGAGGCUCGAAAAGCGUGGGGGAGCAAACAGG
rnacentral:rRNA from 1 species